UGCUAAAUUACAUUUCUGAUUCUCAAAUUGUAAGGUGCGUGACGCUUUCGUUUUUCAAACUAUAACUUAUUGUAAUUUGUGGCUCGAACAUUUUAGAUUGUUGCAAUCAAUUUCCACCGUUCAAUUUAGCUGAUUAAAUUCUGAUGUGGCGGUGAGGUGGGAUCUCAAUUAUUAUUUCAUCAUCAAUUACAAUACUAUUACAUUAACAGCAUGUUAUUAUUCAGCAGACUAAAUUGUAUUUGUAGGAGUUAAUUAUGACAACUUAGAAAGUUUGAGAUAGAAACUAUAAUUAGUUAAUUUUUGAGGAUGAAAUUGUCAUACGCCUCACUCUUUGGGGACUAAUUAAUGUGUAAUUUAGACCUUUCAAAAUUAUUCUCUUUAGACCUUUCAAAAUUAUUCUCUCCAACUGCAUCUCGUACUAUCUAUACAUCUAUACAUAUAUUUUAUAUACAUUAUUUUUCAUAAACUUUUAACACAUGGCAGCACUAUAGUCUCUCAUUUUUAAAAUUUCUACUCUGCAAUUAUUGCGACCGUUCGCCUUUCCGUAACGUCUCCCUCUUCGGCUUUCUGUUAAAUUAAUUCUUUCUCUGUAAUGUCUGUCUCUUUGUCUUCCUAUCUCAUUAAUUCCUUUUUCAUAACAUUUGCUUCUUCGACUUUCCAUUUUAUUAAUUCAUUCUCUGUAACGUCAUUGCUUCGACUUCCUGCUUCGUUAGUUUCUAUUUUCUAAGAAGCAUUGCCCGAGAGCCUGUGGGCACGGUAUACGACGUCCUCGACAACGACCUUACCUACUACGUCCGCUCCAAUCUCAAACACAGUAGGCACGCUGCCCUCGCCCUCACAGUCAACAUCGGGUGAAUCGAAUUCUAACCCUAGCCCCUAAUUCUCCUCCCUCGAUCUUGACCACUUAUAUUUGUAAUGUAUAGUUAUAGAAAGAGUGUGUAUCCCUUUCCUUUGAUGGCCUCGAAGAACGAGAAGUCUCGGCUAAGAUAUGAACUUGCUGAAAAGGGGUUGAAGGUACUGUGAUAUUUCACGAAAUCGUCGGUGUUAAUAGAGAAUGCCCUAAAUGAGGGUACAAAGGGAUCCGAUUUCUAUAUAGCAAUUUUUUUUCUCCUAUAUCUCUCUCAAAAAAAAAUGUUUUUUCUCCUAUAGUCUUUUUUUUCUUUCAUUAUUUUUUAUUGAAUUAUAAUUCUAUUCUAAAAAUUUUAAAGUAUUUUUUAUAUUAUUAAAUUUAAUUAAAUAUGAUUAUAUCCGCCGCAUCGCGUGAGUUGCUACACUAGUAUCCCAAUACCCUCGAAUUACAAAUUCAACUAAUGCUAAUUCAACUACAACAAACAAUAAAUAAAAUUUUUAGAUUUGCCCGUAAUUUCACCUGCAAUGUAAUUUGAAACACAACAGCCAAACAAUCUCUUUUAGAAUAUGUUGCAUUAUCCUUACAUGUUAAUUAUUGACCUGUUGACACAUAAGAUAUUUUUUUUUGGAAAAACUUCAAAUACCACUGAACUUUAGUAUCCUGUGGUUUCAUUUUUUCUUUUUCUCAGUUUUUCUGUUAAUAUUGAUACUUUAAAUGCUUAAAUUCAGUUAUUAUUCUGUUAGAAAAUUUUUUUUGAUCUUUUAUUACAAUAUUCUUUAAAAACCAAUUCGAAAAUUUAAUUACAGGUUUAGAAAAAUUCCGAAAUAAUACGGUAAAGAAAAUGUUUAGAUAAGGUCUGUGGAUCGAGGCGUGCAGAACACUGUCCUAGAAGCGAAAUUGCCCCUCCACGUGCGAGGCUUCUCAGCAAUUACUUCUAGCGAUACAACGACCACGUCCCACCUCGUCGGCACACUUCCAAGGUGGCGCAAAACGAACCCAACCAGCUUCAGAUCCAGCAAAAGAAAACUCGGUAAAAAUCCAGAAAGUAGAAAAUGAUGAGAGGCUUGUGUUAACCUCACCCUAUAUUUAUAACCUAGGCGAUAAUCAACGAAAGAAUACAAAUACAAAUUAAAAUAAAAUGAACCGAGUGUAUGGACUGCGCCCGCCGCUGCCCGGCUCGGCUCAUGCUCAUGCUCAUGCCGUGCGUGCGUAUAUUUAAACGAGAGUAUAAUUCUCAUUUUCUUCCAAGCAACUAACUUGAAAAUAAAGCAAUAUAUAAAAAUCACAAACACUUUUUUCGUUUCCAAUGUGGGACUAAACAUCUCACAUGAAGAUUUAGUUGGGCUCGCCAAGCCGCCUAUUAACAAUUAUUGGGCUCUCAAGUGGUUUAAUAAGUUUUAAAUCAAAAUAAACCCAAUAAAAACCUAAUAUUCCUAGCGUGUAGGUCUUAUAUAUUUUAAUCAGAAUCAGUUUUCGUACAUCGUAUUUAGACUCUGACGUUCUCGCAGGAUCCAAACCAGAUAUGAGAUUUUAGAGGUGGUUCCUACGGGUUCAAAUGGUGGCUCUUAUCAAAUCCGUUGGUUUAGUACUUUGCCUCGUAUAGCACUUAGCUCUUAUACUUUCGGCUGGUAUUCGGCUCUGAUACUAAUUGUAACGAUCCGAUCAGCUAGCAAUAAUAACUCGUUGGACCCAAAAUGCUUCAGCCCAAUUAUUAAUAGUGUGUAGGCCUCAUAUAUUUUAAUUAGAAUCAGUUUCUUAUCCAAUAUAGGACUAUUGGAGCGUUAUAGAUUUAACGAAAAAAAAUAAUGGGCGGGAUAAUAAAAAGAUAAAAAUAAAACUAUAGAAUACUAAAUUAAUAUACUUUAAAUCAUAUGAUACUAAAAUAAAAAAAUACAAAACUGAAAAGAUAGUAUUUGAAGUUUUUUUUUUUUCCUUAUUUUAGGCAUGCACACAGUGGAUAUAUUAUGGGUACCCAAAGCAUUUCCCCUUUACUUUAUCAACUGAGAUUAAGUAAUUUAGUAUGGGAACUUAACUCACAAUCAUUACAGACAAGGUACGUACUAGUACAGUAGUACCUAAUUUCUAACAUAUGUCACCACAGAAUAACACUGUGAACAGCAGUAGAGUGUUGAUUAAAAAUGUAAUUUUUGAUCUGUGUAUUAAUAUGAGAGGGUGUCUCGGAUUGUUUGACUCUUAAAGAAAAUAAAAUUUUGAUAAUUAGUCGAAUUUACUUCACAACAUAUUACAUAUAUAUCUUUUCUGAAUUCUCUAGUCAAAAUAAAGGAUUUAAUCUCACUCCGAUACUAUAUUUAAAUUUCAGAAUCAUCAACUGCACUUUAAAAUAUAUUCUCUGUGCCCAAUUUUUUUCUUAUCUAAUACAUGUUUUACAUUUUAUGUUUUUUUUCACUCUCUUUCGAGGCAACAAUGGUGGCUCGGCUCGAGGCAAACUAAGGACGCACCCUGUCCCUCUUUGUUACUUCGUUAUUUGAAUUAUCGCAACCACAAAAUACAGCGCAAAAAAUAAAAUAAAAAGCUAAUUGUACGCUUUAUAUUCGAGUGUACAUUUUUAUAUUUUAAGAUUUAAAAUAUUUAGAUUUUUUUGAUUUGUAAUUAAGAGCGCACAUAUAUAGAGAGGUUUUUUUCUUUUUUUUGGCAUAGUAGGCGCGUAAAAGCCAAAAAAAAGAAAGAAAUUGUGUCCAUUAUAUAUUUUACAUCCUAUUUAGGACAACUAUUUCCAUGAGCCUCAAUAAUCAGUAACUAAUCAGCAAUGGUCUCUGAGUUUCUAAUAAAUAGCUACUGUUUUUUUAUUUGCAAUCAAGUGUCGGUGGAUCUGAAAAUAUAAAUUAACUAAAAUUCGAAUUUAAAAUCUCGAGUAUCAAUUAUCAAUUUUUUUUUUACCACUUGCGCUAAGAGUAGAAUAUUAAAAAAUAAAAAUAUAGCUUUCUUUUCUAUAUGACAUAAUAAAUGUUAGGAGGAAAAAAUGAUAAAAUAGUUUGUUUGAUAAUUUUUUUAUCUUAAAUUAUAUUUAUUUUAUUUUUAGUCAAAUAUUUUGUUUGAUAAUUCUUUUUUACAAAAUUUAGUCAUAUUUUUUAAAAAUAAACUCUAGUGUCCAAAAUUUCCUCUAUUGAUGUGAUUUGCAUUCAUGGCCGGAGAAUCUGACCCUAACGUCUAAUCUGGUCCGGGAUGGAGAUGCAAUCGUCACAUGUUAUUUUUUUUUAAAAAAAAUAUAGUUUAUUCUUUUAAAAAUAAAUUAAAUUACUAAUUAUUAAAGUUUAUUUUGAUUUUGAAAUCUAUCUAAUGUUAUUGAAUAAAAUAAAAUAAAAAUAAAAAUAUAUAGAAAUAUAUUUUUUUAUUUUUUUGUAAUACUGUAAAAAUUUUAUCAUAACUGAUUAAUUACGAUAUAUAAAACGCAAAAUUAUAUACGAAAAUAAAUAAAAUAUUUUUUUACCGUAUUUUCUGUAAAAACGGCCUCUAAAUACUCUCAUGGCAUUUGACCAAUAUACCCUUAUCUAUAUACCUUGCUCAAUAGAGGCUCCCGAGGUCAUAUUUGGCAUUUCGCAUGUACCCAAUCAGAGACGGAGAGAGUGAGACAAGAUUUUAAUGCGCCUUAUAGGAGGAGCCAAAGAGAACGCAAGAGAGAGAAAGAGAGAGAGAGAGAGAGAGUAGUGAGACAGUGUGCAGCGCCGAGAGCGAGUCUUAUCACACGAACAGCAACUCCCCCCAUUCUCUCUGCUUCGCUCACCCUAUAAAGUCCCCCAUUCAUUACCACCACCACCACCACCACCACCCUCGUCUCCUCCGUCCACAAAACCCCUUCACCCCCGGAGCAUAAAAAAACCCUUUCGCCAUGGACGAUCCGCGCGAGCCAUGGCUCCCCGAGGGGCCCCGCGACCCCAUGGAGUUCCUCUCCCGCUCCUGGAGCGCCUCCGCGCUCGAGGUCUCCAAGGCCCUCGCCUCCGCCCCCCCGCCCCCGCCCCCGCUCCCGCCGCCGCCGCCGCCGCACACCUUCUCGGUGGCGGCGAUCCCCGAGGACGCCGCCGGCGAGAUGGAGGAGGCCGCCGCCGCGGCGGCGAGCGUCGCCGGGAACCCCUUCGCCUUCGCGUCGUCGGCGACGUCGCAGCUCGUCAUGGAGCGGAUCUUGUCGCAAUCGGUGAGCUCCUCUUCCUAAUUUCGCUUCAUUAUUUGCUCCUAGGUUUAAUCGAUGUGUAGGUAGGUAUAUUGUAGUUCUACUUGUUUCAUGUUACUUUCAUUAUUCACUCUGCUUUCACAAUUUUUUUGUAAAAAAAAAAAAGGUGUGCUUUGUGAGCUCUCAAAACUCGUCCUUUUUAUCUACCACUUCAACUAUAAUUGUUUGUAUUCAACAAUCCUCUGUUUUUUGUGUUCUCUUCAUCUUUAACCACACCUUAUUAAAAAAAAAAAAACCCCCCCCAAUUUUCUCAACAAAAGUUACUCUUUGUUCCUCCUCUACUGCAGCUUUACUCAAUCCAACUUCUGGGUUGCAAAGCUCUCAAAGCUCUGUUUCUCACUAUGCUCUGUUUCUCCUCUCCCCCUGUUUUCACCAUACACAGCAAGAAGUUUCCCCUCUCACUUCCGGUCGCCUCUCGCACAGCAGCGGCCCCCUCAACGGCGGCGGAUCCCUCUCCGACAGCCCCCCAGUUUCCCCUUCCGAAAUCGACGACAUUAAGGUCCCCUCUCUCAUCUCUCCAUCUAAUAGUCUAAAACUGGAAAAAGAAAAGGAAAACAACAAAACAGAGUAGCUUCUCUUGUUCUUGUUUCCUUAUGAGUAAAAUUGUGCUGGGAGAAACCGGAUCAAUAGUACACUCCAUUAAAUUUAAUUGUUCUAAAAACUUCUUAAGUAGAAAAACUAGAACUUUACUUGAUGUUACUUAAUAAUGGGUCUAUUUCCACUGUUCAUUCCUCUGUUUUUUAAUAAAGCAAGUAAAUUUCUUUGUUUCACUGUAGUAGUAGACCAGUGACCAAAGGUCUCACCUUUAAAGAGAGAAAGAGAGAGAGAGAUGUGAAACCUUUCUCUUGUUCCAAUAAAAUACCUGUGACAUAUUUAUCACCAGGCGUGUAAUUAAGUGCCCACUUUUUUGUUUUUUCUAAUAGGAGUUUGGGUGCUUUGAUCAUUACUUUGCUAUGCCCAUGUGCUUUUUUUNGCCCACUUUUUUGUUUUUUCUAAUAGGAGUUUGGGUGCUUUGAUCAUUACUUUGCUAUGCCCAUGUCCUUUUCUUCUUUUUUUUUUUUUUGUGUUUCACUGAGAUGGUAAAACAUCAUAUAUGCCUAGCCCUAAAAUGCUCCUGGGAGCCAACCUGAGAAAAGGAGUGCUCUUUACAGCACCAGGGUUAUUUUGGGCUUUUCAAAUUUGGAUAUAGGAAAAAGGAAAAGAGCCAAAUAAUUGCUACUACUAUCGCUUUUGCACCAUGUAAGAGAGAGAGAGAGAGAGAGAGAGAGAGAGAGAAGGCUAAUGAGAUUUGGUGAGCACUGUAGGAUAUACCAUGUCCAUCCAUGUAAGGCUAGAGGGGCACUUUUGGUAAUUUUCAGGGGUUAUUUUGGGAAUGUUGUACAAAAUAUAAUAUAAUAAUAUGAUUAAUUAAUGUGAGGGGUUAUUUUGUCUUGUAGUUCUCUGAGCAAAGCAACCUCUGUGGGUUUUUCAUAUUUUUUGUUUCUCUGGUUUUUGCUUGGGACUUAAGAAGCUUUGAUUCUUUCCCAGUUUUUGUCCCCCCUCUCUCUCUCUCUCUCUCUCUCUCUCUCUUCUGCUUCAUCAAACAGCAAAAGCAGUUUCUUCAGAAGCUGCCCCCCUUUUGCUUUGGCUGGUGUCCGCAGCACUUCUGCUACCUUUUGUUUUCUUUCUUCUUUCUCCUUUUUUUUUUUUUUUUUGCCGAGUACUAAUCUCAUCAUUAAAUUAAAAAAAAAGAAUCGGGUUCUGAGCCGCUGUGCGUGCUCCAAUCUCAUUACCACAUCUGUUCCCUAUACAUGUCAUAAGAUGCCGAGGGAAACGCAUUUCCCAUGCAACUGUUCUGAAACUGGAACGCUUGGGAACAGUGUUUCUUGUUCAAUCAAUUUCGCUGUGGGACCCUUGACCGCCCUCACGCUCACGCUCCACACGUACGAGUACGAAUAAUAGUAAACGAGAGUAAACAUAGUAUUAUUAUCAUUAUUAUUAUUCAAAUCGAUUUGAUUUAACAUAAUAUUAUUAUUCAAUACGAAUUAUAGUAAAUAGGUGUGGAUAUAGUAUAAUUCAAAUCGAUUUGGCUUAGCCUAUGAGAUUUCUGGUGUAGUAUUGCCGCGCGAGCAACACGCCGAAGCCGCAGGCGUACAACCGCGCCGGGGGUGGGAAGACGGUGGGGAGGUGGCUGAAGGACCGGCGGGAGCGGAAGAAGGAGGAGACGCGCGCGCACAACGCGCAGCUCCACGCGGCCGUCUCCGUGGCCGGCGUGGCAGCCGCCGUGGCCGCGAUUGCCGCCGCCACCGCCGCUGCCUCCUCCGCCGCCUCGGGCUCUGGGAAGGACGACCGCGCCUCCCGCACCGACAUGGCGGUGGCCUCCGCCGCCACGCUCGUCGCCGCGCAGUGCGUGGAGGCCGCGGAGUCGAUGGGGGCCGAGCGCGAGCACCUGGCGGCCGUCGUCGGCUCCGCCGUCAACGUGCGCACGCCGGGGGACAUCACAACUAUCACCGCGGCUGCUGCUACUGGUAGCGUCCGCAUUCCGAUUCCGGAUCAUCAUUUAAUUUCGAACUAAAAUUUGCAUCAUUUAAUGGUAAACUUAAAUUGUUGCUAAAUUUGGUCCGGGUAUAUCUCAUUUUCCCGCAUUAAUGGGUAGCAUUACGAGGGGCGGCGACAUUGAAGGCGCGGGCCCUGAAAGAGGUGUGGAACAUUGCUGCAGUAAUUCCAGUAGAGAAGGGCGGAGUCGGCGGCGGCGGCGGCGGCCAUCAGAAGCAUCAGCAUCAGCAUCAUCACGGCCAGAGCAAGCAGCAAAAGGAGAUCGACAGCAAUGGGAGCAGCUUCAGCGACGAUCUCGUCGCCGACGAGGACAACUUCCUCGGCCUCUGUAGCCAGGAGCUUCUCGCCCGCGGGUCCGAGCUACUCAAGCGGACGCGCAAAGGUGUUCGAUCAUAUUCCCCCCUGUUCUUGUUCAGAGAAUAUUACAAUUACAACUAAAAAGAGCGAACGAAGAGUGAUAAUUGAUUUUGAUUUGCAGGUGCACUGCACUGGAAGGUUGUUUCAGUUUACAUUAACAGAGUGGGUCAGGUAAAAUGGUUUUCAAGGGCUUUUACUGUUUCUGUUUACAAUUCCCUUUUAGAUCCUUACUCUGCAAGGUUUAAUUAAGGGUUUCUUUUUGCGCGAAUUGUUUAGGUAAUGCUUAAGAUGAAGAGUAAGCAUGUAGCUGGAACAAUCACUAAGAAGAAGAAAAGUAAGCUAACAUUGUUUUAUUUUUUGUUUGAGGGUUUUAUUGUGCAUCAAAGCUUUAUGCUGAGUCUAUAACUUUUGGUGUCGGAAACAUUCAUUUACUGCAGGUGUAGUCAUAGAUGUGUGCAAGGAUGUCACGGCGUGGCCGGGCCGACACCUGCUAGAAGGCGGGGAGCAGCGCCGCUACUUCGGGCUCAAGACGGCGGAGCACCGCGUGAUCGAGUUCGAGUGCAGGAGCCAGCGCGAGUACGAGAUGUGGACGCAGGGCGUGUCGCGCCUCCUCGCCAUCGUCAGCGAGAGGAAGCGCCUCGCGUAAUCCGCGAAAGAAAACCAGUUAAAAAGAAAAAAAAAAAAAAAAAAAAGCACUAGCAAAAAAAUGAAGCUGUGUAGAUCUGGAAAAGAGGAGGGGGUGAUGGAUAGGUGACCCACCCUGAAUUAAAGAGGUUUGGUGAGGGGGUGUUUCAAAUGGGGAAGGAUUUGUUGUGUUUUUUUGUGUCUGUGUGGGGUUGGUGUAUAAUGUAGUGAAAUUGUGAUGGGUUCCAUCUCUCACAUCUCUCACAUUGUGUAGGAAGAGAAAAGUAGGGUGGGAUCAUAAGAUCAAUCAAAGAAGAGGGUGUGGGGUAGUUUUGUUAUUGGGUUUUACCUUUUGUCCUAUGGUUUUGUAUAAAUAUUUUUAAAAAAGCCAAAAAAAAAGAGCAAAAGGGUAAACUAUGAUCUGAUCAGCUACAGUUGUUGUAGGAAAGAAUCUUUGACUGAGGAAAAAAGGAAAAAGUUAAAAAAGUUAAAAAAAAAAAAGCAGGUGAGGGGCUCUUUUUAUCCCUGUUAUUUGAUUUGUCAAGCUAAAGAUAAAAAGUCACCACUUUGCUUUACUAUGGACUCAAAAUUGACUAAGAAACACAAUCAGGUACUUUUAUUGUAACCAUAUUCCCCUAUUCACAGAAUCAAAGUAACUGUAUAUGUUCCUCUGGCGUGUGAUUACUCUUCCACAUUGUGAAAAUUAUUAAAAAAAAAAAAGAAGCUUACGAAGUUUUGGGGUUAUGAAUUUGCCUUAUAAUAAGUGAGCCAUAUCACGAAUUUUAGGACAGCACGGAGCAGUUAAUGAAGUUACAUGUGAAUGCAUUGUAGCAUAAUAAUGCAUCACCAGGCAAUAUAUAUAUUUUAUUUCCUGAGGACUAAAUGCAUGAAUUUUCAUACACGCAAGUUAUGGAUGAUGCAUUAAUUGCAUCAACAAGGAUAUAAGAUUUCACUGGCUUAAUCGAAUGGUUCAACCAGGAUUUCAAUAUAUGUGAAUCUGCGGCCAAAUUUUUAAUAUUAGUUGUAUUAGUCGAUAAAAAAAAUAUUUAAAUACAAAGCGGUGUUUCUAUUUGAGAUUGCAUAAGAGAAAUCGUUUUACCAUGGGGUAGAGAGGUGAGACGGGUUCUGAACCCUGAAAGCAGAAGCUACGAAUGCUAUGCUUAUAUUUCAUUUUUAAGUAAUUUGUGUACACCGAUAAAGAGCGAAAAGAAAUCAGCUUUUACAUAAGUGAAGAAACUAAGUUUCAAAAUAAAGUGAAAUUAUGUGCUUAUGCAUCCUAAUCAUUCUUUCAAUAAUUGCAUGAUCUCCUCAACAUCAUAGGAGACUUUUCAUCCAGAAUUUUUUUUUUUUUAAAAGUUGUGGGUUCCCUGGUCCAUGGGUCAUGAUUAAAAUUAGCUCAUUACUUGUUGACCCAUUAGGAAGAAUUGGUUCAGGUAGUAGCUACCUACAACAUUCCACAAGAGACAAGCCAUCAUUCAGUGGACUCUGCUCAAUCAUUAGGCAUGUUUGUUUCACCAGUGAGUAGUGGGAAGUGAAAUUAUUUACAUUUGUAGCUUGAUUUGCCGUAAAUUAAAUUCGCUCGUUAACCUGUAGUUGACUUUUCUCUGAAUGGUGCCAAAGUCAAUUAUAGGGGUAAAAGAGAUAGAAAAGAUAAUAAAAAAUUAAUCCAAGAAUCAAUCUUUACCUAACAAUGAGAAUAGUAAAAUGAAAAAUGACAGCUUACGUCGAAAAAUAGUCUUGAUUUUUCACUAUUGCCCUGUGUCUUCUUGAGAUUAGUGUUGGAUCUGACUCCCAUCCAACGGAGCAGGACAUUCUCGAUGUACCAGUCAUAUCAUUUGGAAGCCAUCACAGACUAAUUUAGUUGUCGCCAUGCCAGAUUCAUCAAGUAUUCAUCGAGUGGAAUAGUAGUAAAUCCGACAAUUGAAAAGUUAGAAGUGAAUUAUUUUGCUAUGUAGUAAAAUUGCAUUUUGCUGUUCUGGAUCUCACAGGAAUGAGUACGCAGAAAAGUUCAGCCAGAGCGGCAGCAUCAUGAUUCACGAUAACAAGCUAUCGCGCGGCGAUGCGAAAUUGGCCUCAGCAACAAUUGUCCAAUAUGUUACUGUGUAUUCAAUGAGUUUGAGAAAUCGAUUUCAGACACAUGUAUUUGUCAUGGCCACUUCCAUCUCUGCUUUAACAUUACAGCAAAUCAAACACAGAUUCAGAUUUCAAACUCAAAUAACAAGCUGGUUUAUACUUUUUGGAGUAGACAUAGUUGUGCAUUCCACGCUUGAAACUUGUCGCUUCAAUAAGGUUAAUAAAAGACAGAAAAGAUCUACCUAUACACCAAGACAAAUGAUCCAGUACCUUUUCAUACUUACAAUAUACAACUUUAGCAUCACUCUGUUCAAGCGCCCGUUUGAUCAUUAUGAGAUGUAUGCUACGGGAUCAAUAAUCUUCUGAGUGCUUCAACUAUCGGCGGCUCUUAGUAGAGUGAGAAGAGAUAGAAAUAAAUUGAUGACGUCUAAAUACAAAGCAACAGCAGCCCAAAUGUAUUCAUCGUAAGUAUAGCGUUUAAUCAAGUUGUCUGUGUCAUAAAUAAUGUAGCCAGAGAAUAUAAUUGCCGCUAAUCCCCCGUAUAUCAUGAGAGAGAUCUUUCCCAGUGGGAAUAAGAUCUGCAAAAUAAGUGAUGGAUGCUUAAUACCAUAGAAAUAUAAAUCUAAAUUUCUAGAAAGAGAGAGAUGUGCUUCGAGGUAUUUUGUCUACCUGGAUGAAGGCAAACGCAAGCAACACUAAGAAGGAAGCAAAAAGGAAGGGGCCAAGGAAGUUGAAGUCGUGGCCCCUCUUCGCAGCCCAGAAGGUGUAGAGCGUGAGGCUAACAACCACUACCGUGGUUAGGAUAGCAGAUUCCAAAAUGACCUUCCCUGUUUAUGAUUAAAAGUCUCGCAGUCAAAGUUAUUUGUCAUAAUAGCAACAAGGACAAUACUAGAAAGUGGAUAUUCGGAUUGUUUUGAAAUCAUCAAUUGUAGAUGAUAAUCAGAAACAUUCUAUUACUACAGAGAUAUGAAAGAAAAGAAGCGAAUAAAUAGAGAACUUCUCAAGACAUGCUCAAAUAAUAAUUGCAAAAAACUAAUCCAACAUCAGGGGGGUAAAAGAAAAGAAACUGAUAUGUUAAAGCAUGAGAAAAACUUACCUGUUAAGCACAUCAUAAGAAAGUUAAUACCAUUGUAUGUUAAGUCAAAAAGAAAAUACUACAUAGCAAUCUAUAUUUUGUGUUUUGAUAGGCAUUCUACCUUACAAAGUAAAAGCUAAAGGAGGUCAUUUUCUCCGUUCUAAUAGUUAAUUUGGCACCUCAAAACUGUUUCCAAACAUAAAGCAGAGGCAAAUGAUGUUUUCCGCACAGAUACACAAAAGAUUUCUAUGUAUUUGACAGCACAAGCAACCUAGAUCUUCAGAUAACAGAAUGUUCCUUAACUACCUUGCUUAAAAUUGGCCAAUACUGACAAUCUGAAAGAUAAAUAUCAUUGUGCUUCUGGACUAUUGGCUAAAAUAAUGUGAGCUUACACCAUCCAUGAUCAUCUAGGCCUAUCAUGCCAGUAUAUUUAAGGAGAAUAUCCAUAAAAUUGUCAACAAUAUGACAGCAUUUCCACCCUACAACAGCUGCAUGAUCCUGCAACUAUGAAUUAAAAUCGUACAAGCUGUUACUGAACCUAAUGUAUUGUGAACAUGUGAACUCAUCUAUGCGACUAAACGAAAUACGCGGUAUCAUUCUAAUUAUACUUUUGUGAAACAUGAUAAUUUCACAGCAUCUUGUUACACCUACAUUGAAUAUAUUAUUAGAACUUCAGCAAGCAAAUUACAAUAGAAUAAUUAAAGUUGCGAUCUUUACCGCUGGUGAAUGCGCAGGACAUCCCGACAGCGAAACUGAUCGAAACCGUAAACAAUCCUAGCAACAGCAGAUUCACCGGAUGCCGCUGGUGAUAGUAAUACAGAGGGCACAGAACUGCAUUUAGAAAUCAUCAAAAAAAAAAAAAAAUCAGAAAAAACAAAGUAAAAAAACAAUAACAAAAUCAAAUGAAAUCACCAAAAUAGCAAUCAAAACAAAAGCAGGGAGUAGGGGGAGAGGGACCGAUGAAGGGGAGGAUGAGGAGGACGAUGUAUAGGGCUAAUCCGGCGGUGGAGGAGACGAAGAAAUGGGAGAUGGGGUGGACGAAGACGAUGACGGCGGAGACUGCGGCGGUCAUGGCGAUCUGUAUGGCGAGUAUUACGUAGAUCUUCCGGAUGAACGCCCACCGGAGCUCCGGGCUCUCCAUCAUCGCCGGGUACAGCGGCUGCGGCCCCGAUUCCACAUCUCCCUUCCCGUACGGACGAUUCCACAUCUUUUCCUAGAUCGAUCGAUCGAAAUCUAUGGAGAAUUUAGGGUUAGGGUUAGGGUUUCGAAUUUGAGAAGUGGGAGAGAAUUGGGGAAGAAGAAGAAGAAAAACGGCGAGAGAGUGAGCCGUUACUUAGAACGUAAAAAAUCGACUCCGACACAAUUGGCCGUUACAGUAACACGUGGCGGAAUGUGACGGGCACAGGUGGAUUUUUCAUUUCCUGGAUUGGUGCGAACAGGGAACACGCUCUAUCUACAACGAGGUUUUCGCAAUGCAGCGAAACCGUAGUGGGGCUCACUUACAACGCUCGAGAAGCGCAUGUCAUUGGGCGAUAGAGUGUUUGGUGUUUGAUGCAGAGUAGCGGAGCGGAUCCUUGGGAAUAUCCUUCGCCGACAAGAAACGCCACUCCAGAAUAAGAAGGAUAGGCGGAAUGUUCGUGUACAACAAAAUGUACCCAACGCUUUCCUUCCUAUUGUGCCAAUGAGAAUGGGGGUGCUGUUGGGGAAGUUAUCGGUCACAUAGAUCUCGACGGCGAGGACGAGUUUGAACCGUCGGAUCAAACUCAAAUUUAUUUGGAUUCUACGGUUGGAAGAAACCAAAACAUAAAUAAAAUAAAUUUAAAAAUUUGAAUAUCCAGUUUGAACUUUGAACCGACUAUCUAACCUUGUGAAAAUUUAAUAUUAUUAUUCAAUCUUUUAAUUUGUUUGCCUUUAAAAAUUUUAUAGUUAUGAAAAUUAAAUAAAAUAUAUUAACUAAAUCAUUAAAUAUAAAUAAGGUAUUCGAAUUAACAGGUUCAAAAAUCGUUGACAGGUUCAAAUCGAACUAAUUGAAUAUUAGACAGUAAAAUCAAAAUUUUUAAAAAGUUGGACAGCGACUCAAAAAGAUAUAUAAUUCAGAUAAGCUUUAUACAUUUUACCGAUAAAAUAUUACUUCUAAGAUCGUUUCUACGUUGAAAUUUACAUAGUAUUUCUUUAAACAAUCUAAAGCUAAAAAUUCUUUAGGUCAUGAGCAUCAGUUCGUCCAAAUCAUAUAAAUAUAAACAUUCUGGAGAUCUAUAGCCGUACUCUAAAGCUUGCGAAAUGCCUUUUUUUCAUUUCUUUCUGGGUUACAUAACACGAUCAUCAAAUUAUGAAGCGCAUGACACUUUAGCAAAAUUAAAUUUAUUAUAAUAUUUUAUUUAGUUUUUUAAAAUUAUUGUAAUUAGAUCCAAAUAAAAAAAAAAAGAGUGCAUGAAGCAAAUCAUACUACGAAGGGAGAUUUGCAAUACUUUAAUACAUGAGCACAAGUUAAUUGGUGCUCGAUUCACACAUUUACCAAAAAAAAAAGAAAAAAGAAAACGUUAAAUUGGACUGAGCCCAUUGGGCCACAUUUGCAUAAGUCCAAGUAGGCCCAUCUAAGCCCAUUGGGCCACUUGUUGCAUAAGUCACAGAUAUUUUAUAUAGAAGUCCCUCUCUCUCUCUCUCUCUCUCUCUCUCUCUCUCUCUCUCUUAAAAAAGUUUUCUUUGUCACGAAUAUUUUAAAUAAAUAACAAUAUCAAUCAAAUAUCUUAAAAUUGUACAAAAGUAUGUACAACUGUACAAGAACAAUCUUUGUUUUAAAAAAAAAUUUGAUGUAAAAUUACUAUAUACUCUGUUGUCAAACUCUUUAUCAUUUUACACGGCACACUAUAAUUUCUUUAGGAUAAUAUCAAAUGUGUUAUAACCAUUAUCGAUCGGUAACAUCUCAAUCACAUUUCUAACACAUCAAAUUAAAAAAGUUAGGCGAAAGGCAUUGCAAUAAUUUCUAAUGAGAAAGAAGAUGAGGAUUAGAUAUAUAUAACAUUAUUAAGUAGUGUUUUUUUUUGCUAGAAAUUGAUAUUCAUAGGAGGAAGGAAUCGUAGUAGAUUAACUUAAGUUUUACACAGCUGUACACUGUUUGUAAACCAUGGAUUAAUCUUUGUUACCUUCUCUCUUUUGCUAAAAUGUGUUAACAUAAUAUCUGAAAAUAAACUACCUGCUGGAAUUACACGAAGAAUUUUCUUUCGACAGCUUGCGACUAAACUUUCCUAAUUAUAUCAGUUCGUUCGUAAUUUAAAUUUGACAUGCAUGCCCAUGCAUUGACGCUCGACACUUUAGAUUUGAAAGACAUAUGUAUGCAGUGUAUUAUCUUAGUCAAAGUUUUUUAUCGGUAUUAUGUGAUCGAACGAUCGUUGGUUAGAGGCUAUACGUAAUGGCCCAUAAAAUAGUGACAUAUGAGAUAUAUAGUUGUGAAUGUGACAUCAAAAACCAAGCACAUUUUGUGUCAAAAUCCAGCGAAAACAAAGAGAAACAAUUGAGGUACUCAGCAUGAAAGCGAAUUGGAAAGCUCAUGAGGUAAUUACAUAAUUAUCUACAUUUUGUUUUGCUCCUUGUUAUAUAUAAAGUUAAUGAUACAACCCUAAAAGCCAAAUAAAGCUAGCUAGCCAAUUGUGCAUGCCAUGAGAAAUAUAGUUUUAUGCUUUAAUCUUUGUUACUCUUUUUCACAGUAAGGUUUUUCAUUAGAUUCUAUGUCAUAGUAAGUGUUAGCCAUAAAUGUAUCCUUAUAAGGUCCAUUGAACUGAUAAUGAUGCAAAGCACUAAAAAAGAAAAUGUCGUAGCAUUAUGGAAAUCCGAAAAUAUGAAAAAUUCAAUGAUAAUAAACACUAGUGUAUGUUGAUAACAAAGCUGAGAUAGCCACCUCUUAUGCAGUUGAUUCCAUGAUCUUAAAAGCGAAAUUUUUAUACAUAUAGUUUCAAAAUUGAUUAAUGCAAAAUACUUUUCUACAAUGUGGGUAGAGUAAGCCUUGCCAGGAAAGAAAAGAAGAUCGAUACAUUGUAAGAUAGUAAAUCACAAUUAUUAAAGCACUUGUACCAUUUCAAAAUGCACAACAGUUCGGGUUUACGUUUGCCCAAAAGAUUUUGCAUUUUGCUUAGAAACUCUUUAUGAAAUCAAUCGUUCGGUUCUUUUCGAACUCGUCUCUAGCUUAACUAGUUAGAGCUCGAAUAGAAAUUAACAUUGCCAAUCUCUAUUUAAUAAGUUAAAUCCUAUCCUAUAAUUACGCUUGUCGGCUCCAACCAUCAUAUUAAUUAGUUAGUUAGACAGAUAGAUUAGACAGAUAGAUUAAUUAGAUUUGUAAGUUCACUAAUUAAACUCUCUGAUAUAUACCUCUCAACACUAUAUACCAUGCAUAUGUAUUGGUUGUGGCUCAAAUUAAUCCUCAGUUUAAUUUGUGAUUGAUCUUUAAUUUAAUACUUCAAGUAACCAUCUUUACUCAUUAAUUAAAUUAUUUCUAGACUUUUUCCACAACAAAAUAUAGCUAAAAAGUAAAAGCAUACAUUUUCUGUAAUCUGUAACACCAAUUAUAUAUGCUUGAUGAAGUGAAAAAUGAUCCAUUUCUUUCAUCAUUUUUCACAUGAUUAUCUUUAAUUUUCAAUGCUAGCUGGCUAAAUUAUGCAAGAUACAUAACUAAGCGAUAUCAUCAUUAAAAGAAAAUGUUAUGUGAUCUUGUUGAAUUAAUAGUAUGCGUGCAAAUUAAUUUUAGUAAAUUAAUUUGUUUCCUUAUCAGGAAAUGAAUACACUAUCAUCGAUCUAACUGGAAAUUAAGGUAUAUUAAUUUGUGCAAUAACAUACCUUGAAAUUGAAUCCAUCAUGUGCAACAUCUUACUUAAAGAAUAGAUUAUAUUAUCAAGCACACAGUACAUUCACAUACAUUAAUAUAAUCUUCAAUAUGACAAAGUUUUUAGCAUAUGAAGUAAUAAUUAACACGCUGCACCACCAUAUAAUUUGAAUACUUAUAUGCAUGCGCACAUCCGAUGAAAAGCUAGCGUCGACACUCGGCUCCUUUGCUUUUGCCUCCGACCAAAUUCACUUAUUUCAUUGGCGAUCUUAUCAUUAAAAGAGCAAGGAAUAUGCUGUUCAAAAUAAUAAUUAACUAAUGAAUUCGCGUGAUAAGAUUUUGGAAAGCAUAGAUUCUUAAUUACUUUGUUUUAGGUAGGGUGCAUGUACAAAGUGUAUAUGAUUCUUGGAUAUUGAAUUUUUUUUGGCCUACGUGUAUAUAUGAAUUGAUUCUAACCUGUUGCAUUGUAUAUUGUUUAAUUUACUGGCACAAUAGGUUUGUGUGAAAAGCCUCAUAGAAGUUCCACAACUUAUUCCAGAUAAGGUUAAUUUAGAAAUAUUUUUUGCUUAGCUAAUCAAUAGGUGCCGUGAGAACUAAGACAACAAUAUGCUACAAAAGUGAUUACAAUUUUUAAAUAACCUUGUUGCACCUUUCAUUGGCCCUUACGUUCUAAAGGAGAUUCCUCUCCACAAUUGGAACAAACCUCUUCUCCUACUUAUUCUUAUAUUAUAUAUAUAUAUAUAUAUAUAUCCUUAUCAAAACCUUUCAUGGUCCUUAUUGCGUGAACCCUAGCUCUAGUGUAUAAUGUAUUCACUACAACCUCCAAAACUCAAACCCAAACUCUAAACGCAAAAAUCUACAGUAUUAAAAAUGAAAGUAAAAUUAAAACAAAGUGUAGUUCCUUACAUGAAUAUUAAAAGGACUAUAAAAUUAUAAUUUUCAACACAUAGUUAAAGAAAGGUACGUAAUAUUUGUAUUUUAAGGCCUCUAAUUCAAUUUGAGUUUUGAAAACCCUAGUAGAGGAUAAUUAUAUAAACCAUGGUGCAAUGCAAUAAUGUAUAUUAUUAUAUAUCACCACCACAUGUGGAAGGGGGAAGGAGUUUUUUGCAGCCACGUAAAGGCAAGCCAUUUGUGUGCAAAGGUCAAGAAGUGGGCAUGGGGUUUGGACUUCGUGAGAGGAGCCUCAAAUUUGCAUGAAGACAAAUAAUAAAUUGGAAGAGAGGCCACAACUUGGCAAGUGUACUCCACUUGUGCACUGGACCUUAUAUAUAUAAUGAGGGGCUAAUGUGAAUAUGUAUGCAUGUACCAACCAAAUCAAUAAAGGAUACUUGGACUCUUUAGGCCAUGAAAGAUGUACAAGGUGACAAAGUACUUCAACAACCAAGAGAGAGAAAGAAGAGUGUGUGUGUAAGAGAGAGAGAGAGAGAGCGAGAGAGAGAGAGAGAGAGAGAGAGAGAGAGAGAGAGAGAAGUGUACAUGGUGGUUGAAGGUGCCAGCUAACUGACAUGAAGAAGAGUUGGAGUGAGAGAGGGUCUUCAAUUGGGAAUUGAAUGAGGUGGAAAACAAAUGCAUCUACAGAGAGAGAGAGAGAGAGAGAGAGAGAGAGAGAGAGAGAGAGGGGUGUGAGUGCAUGAGAGAGAGAGAGAGAGAAGAUUAAUAACUGGAUGGAAGUUUCUUGAAGGUACAAAUUCAAAAGAUAAGAAGUAGAAAACAUAAUCAUCAAAAAGAUAGAUCCAUCGUCGACGCUAGCUCAAGUGGCAAAGGAAUCUUUGAUACGGGAGAUUUUUAGUUCAAAACUUAGUUGUACUUCAUAUUUUGAGCUAAGUUCAUUAUUCAAAAAAUAAAAUGAAAUGGCAGCAUACUAAUAUUCUCUACUCUAAAAAUAUAAUCAGACAGAUAGAAAAAAAAAAUUGACUACAAUUAGUCUUAUUGUUUUAUUUUAUUUAUUUUCACUUACCAAACUUCACAAGCUCUUCAAUAGAAAAAAAUAUAGAAUAAUAAAAUACUAAGUCUAUAAUCCAAAAAAUAUUAGCCGCUCUAAAGAAAGAAGUCUACGUAUAGUAAAGCAGCUACACCAUAUCAUAUAUGUCCAAUCAAUAACAUUUCAUCUUUAAAAAAAAAAAUAUAAUAAAAUUAUUUUUUUAAAAAAUUAUGAUGAAAUAAGUAAAUUUUAAAAUAAUAAUUUGAUUGAUUAGAGACGCUACAUAUCACUCCAUGUGACUAUCAUAUUUUAAAUUUUUUCACUCCAAAGCUGUCAUCGUACCAUGCUCACGAGGUCACUUAACAAAGUCAAAGCCAAGAUCCUCUCAGCUGUACAUCCUUGCGUGCUUAAUCAUAGUGGUAGGUAGCUAGUCUUCCCCAUGUUCUGCCUAAAAUAAAAAUAUACAAAAAAUUAUGAUUUUUUUAAAAAAAAAAUACACAUGGGAAAUUUCUAGUGCAUAUAUAAGAAAAAGAGGUUAAUAAUUAUGAUUUUGAUUUGAUUUCUGAAUAAUAUGCACCCACGGGAAACAAAGAUUCAUAAAGAGAGAGAAAAGAAAGGACAAAAAUUUAUUGUAUAAUCAAAAGCAAGCUUAUGUGACUAAUUAAUUGCAUAUAUAUGGAGUCCCUAAAUCCAUACAAACUUGGAUUUUCAUAGAAAACAAAGUGCAUACAUAUACACAAACAUAAUAUGAGUGAACAAUAUAAAGCACGAUAGAGUUGCAACCAAAAGAAAAAGAAAUCUAAAAACUAUAUGCAGGAAAAACAAAAAGAUAAUGCAAAGAACUCACAUAGAACUCGAUCGAUGUAUGGUUUGAUAAUUUCCACAGGCCAAUUUCUCAAGGAGCCAAAACCUAGCUCAGACUCAAAACCCCUAAUUAUAGGCCUCGCCGAAUAUUUCUCUUAUACAUCUUUGAUCAUCUCUGAAUCAAUCUUAACAUUGUGAGACAAAGAUAAUUAAGCAUAAGUUAUGUAUAACGCCAUAAGCGAAAAAAGAAUAAAGAUCACAAACAAAGUAGAAGCAAAAAUAAGUUCAUGAGAACCACAAACCCUUUGGCCUCCCCCAAGAACUAAUUCGAUCGACGCCGUUUUCUCUUGAAACCCUAGCUAACAUGCAUGUUAUAAGUAAGAAAUUAUAACAACCUGAUGAAGAAGGGAUUGAGAAUUUCUAGUGCUCCCAUCAGCAGAUGAAACUGCCGCAUGAUCUGACUCAGAUCCCAUCUAAGACUUACACAAAGACAACAUGCACAAAAGAGAAGAAGUGAUUCUUUCUUCUUCUUUUUUUCCCUCUUUCGAUGCUAAACCGAAUUAAAGAGGCCGAAAUUUAAGAGAUCAGAUCAUGCUGGCAGCUUCAGCCGCUUGUGGUGCACCGCUCACUGCGUCGAUCGGAACAAACUACAGAGAGAGUGAGAGAUGUGAAGAGAGGGGAUGAGGAGAGGGGGAGAUAUAUAUAGAUCAAGAAGGAGAUGAGAGAGAGCUAGGGAUGGUAUUUGCGUUUUGGUGAACAUGUUAACACCAAAAAGGGGUUUAAGAUAGGAACAAAUCAAACAUAAAACGAGUGGUCCCCGAAGUAAAAGAGUAAGUUCAGUAAAGCCAUGGCCAGCCCACCAACAUGCAGUUAGGGUUUCCAAAUCUUCUACUGUACAAAUGGGCCCUUAAUGGCUUUUCCAUAAGCCCUUUCGUGCAUCUCCAACUACGUCCCAUUCAUUGAUCGAGAUGUGCUCCCCAAGGGAGAUAGAGAUAGGGGAGAGAGUUACCCGAAAAAAUUGAUUUGAUAGCAAGAUAUAUAUAUAUAUAUAUAUGAGUCCGGCUACGGUGCUUGUAAAAGUACCAAGCACUUGAUACUUGUAUUUUUUUUACCGUUAGAUCUCUGCCUUUGAUUAUUUUAACCGUUAGAUUAUACUAUUCAACCAACCACCCACUCAACCCUAGGGGGCCCACAUCAUUCUAACCGCACAUCCUUUAAUCCAAGGGCCGAAAACUUACAACCACCAAUAACUUGGUAUUUUUAAAAGCAUAGGAGCUCANUCUCUCUCUCUCUCUCUCUCUCUAUAUAUAUAUAUAUAUAUAUUAAGAGAGAAGAGUAUUAAAUGGCAUGUGAAAUCUAGCUGGUUUCGUUUCGCUCAUUUUUUAGAAAUAAACUUAGUUUGAAAUAUAAAAUAAUUAGUUUUCAAAUUUGAAAUCUCAAGUACCAAUUGUUAAGUCCUUUUUCACUUGCAUUAGGAACGGUCGGUGUUCAGGAUUAGUGUUUAAAAAAAAUAAAUAAAAAGAGGUGGCAUGGGGGUGGGUAAGUUCAUGAAAUACAUAGCCAAAGUUAAUGGUUGGUUAAUUGUAAGGUGGGUCAAGUGGGGUUUUACAUACAGACCUGUUUGUUACACAAGAAUCACAAGUAGAAGAUUGUGCACAUGCCCAUCUAAUGUGGUUCCCUAACAAGAUCAUGUGAUCUCUCUCUCUCUCUCUCUCUCUCUCUCUCUCUCUCUCUCUCUAUUUCUGUGUGCUUGUGUGUUUGCGGCUAUUAAUGGGUAUUAAUUUGCUUAGUAGAUUUCUUUUAAUUUCUUCCUCCCGAUUGGUCCAAAAUCUCUAGAAAGUAUAUAUAUAUGCAUGUGAUAUCAUUUUGUGGAUGGUGCAAGUUGUGUGUAAAUAGGUGCCUUUCAGAAGCAUGCGUAUAGUAAGCUCAGUGAGAUCAGUCCCCAUCACAAAACACCUAAUUCUAGAACCAAAAAAUUGACUAGCCUGAUUGUAAUCCAUCUUUGGACCAAGCGCAUUCUCCAAUGAAAUCUACAAAAAAUGACAUAGACUUUAUUGAUAUUAACAGAGUCAUUUUCACCAUAAACAGCUAGUUAAGAUUCAUUACAUAAAUUUGAUGCAUAUAUCUCUCAGCCGAUAGUGAAAUUAGCACUUUGAUAACACCAUUCUCAAUUUCAUUUCAGUUAGAUCGAUCUCAUGCAGCUAAAAGUAAAGAUAGUAUAAAUUUCCUCAGAUCAAAUUCUUAGCAUGCUAAAAACUUCCAAUUUACUGCAUGUAAAUUAACAACCAUCGUUUAAUUGAAAUUAAUUAAACACUACACAGUCAAAUUUCAAUGCCUCCCAAGAAAAUAAAUCCUACAUAUUGUGCAUAUAUACCUUUAAUUGUUCCCAAAUCAGCUAAACAUAGUGGUUGCAUAAAAUGGAAAAUCCACAAGUAAUCAAAGUUUAUUAAGAUGUCGACACGCAUUGAGAAUACGUAUGCCUCACAUUGAAAGGUUCAACCAUCCCUUUUGGUCCAUUUUAGGUGGGCCCUUGGGACAACUUGUAAUAACUAAUAAGCUAAUUAACCUCUACUCUUAUUAUGUUGAUUUUACUUUGUGGAAUUGAUUGGCCGAUUUUGCAAAUGUUCUCUUACUUUAUGACUGAUCCAUCUUUAACCUUUUUCUACUGAUUUUCAUUCUCGAAGAUCAAAUAAGAUUAGAUCUUUCUUUUCUCAUGAUGCAUGGGUUUGAUUCUUUUUUUUUGAGAGAGAUAGGUAGCACGCUACCCAUUUCGUUUAUUUUAUUUAGAAAUAAACUUAGCUGAAAAUGUGAAUCAACUAGGAUUCGAACUUGGGUCUCGGAUACCAACCACCAAGCCCUUUGCCACUUGCUCUAGGGACGGUCGGUUGGGUUUGAUUCUUAUUCCAUAAUUUUAUAUCUACAUAUCACCUACGUUAGCAUAAGAGAGAGCUAUUUUAUUUACCUUAUUCAAUUCUAACUACAAAGGGUGUAACACUGAAGCUAUCUUUUGUAUAGUCAGAUGGUGUCUUUCUUUCCACCUGGAUCCAAAUGAGAGAAAAAUCAUCAAUCAAGCUGUGAUGUAAAAUUGACUCGAUGUUUAUUGCCAUAUGUUGGAAUUUAUGGAAGGAACUCAAUAAUAGAAUUUUCAAUGAGUUGUGUAGAUAAACUCGAGUACCACAUAAUGAUACACUAAUGUGGCUCAAAUUUUUUGUAAAUGGGGAUUCAAUUAUUGUUGUGGGGCUAUUCAGCCCCUGCAAUUAUAAUUUAUACUUAUUUUACAAAUAACUCCUAUUACAUUCAAUAAAAUGUACAGGCAAUACCCGAUGCAUACCGACCGUCCCUAGAGCAAGUGGCAAAGGGCUUGGUGGUUGGUACCCGAGACUCAAGUUCGAAUCCUAGUUGAUUCACAUUUCCAGCUAAGUUUAUUUCUAAAUGAAAUAUACGAAGCGGUAGCGUGCUACCUAUCUCUCUAAAAAAAAAAAAAAAAAAAAAAAAAAAAAAAAAAAAAAAACCGAUGCAUUCCUUUAAAAAAAAGAAGUGAAGCUAUGUUCCCUAACCACAGGGAAGAAUUAAACUACAUGUAUGCAUCCUAGUUUUGGUUCAUGAUUUCUUGGUUACAUUUCAAAGAAACUUAAAAGUAUUUCCACAUAUAUAGUGAUGUUAAUUAGUUCAUAUGGGCGUUUGAUCUCUAGCAUAUCUGCAUAUGGGUAGAAUUUUUUUUUUUCUCUGAUUAAACAGGGAUAUACCCUAUUUGCAUAUGGGUAGACUUUUGGAAAGAGUGACUUUAAUUACCAAACAAGUGUGUGAUUGAAGUGCUAAUGCUAUUUUCUCUUGUCAGGUACCUGAUUGGACCAAUAAUAUGCACAUCUAAUUGCGUAUGCAUUUGGGCUUCCAAAUAAAUUCAAGAGAAACAUUAAUUAUAAGUUAAAACAAAUGUAGUUUUUCUAUUUGUUUGGACAGUAAAUAAUCCAGUAUAAAUAUAUAUUGAGAUACAUUUCCUUCCAUUUUCUUGAGGUUAGUGGAUAGAUCACUCAUGAUGAGGAUUUUGGACAAUUUUGAAAGAUAUUUAUUUUGAGACUUCCAACUUGUUUCCAUCUUCUAAAUUCUUGUAAUUCCUACAGCUGAAAUUUUGUUUUGAUAUGUGAUCUCAGCAAUAAUGAGAGUGGAAUUUACCACCGCAAUUAAUAUGGUAACUCCAUUGUGAGCUGUGUAGUAAAGAUGAACCUUUAUUAGAAACUUUAUUAGAAACCAAAAUGUUUUCAUUUGUUUAUUUGGGCUAAUAAUAAGAAUUCAAAAAUGCACCAUGGGAAAGCAAUGCUUCUUAAUUUUAUACUAUUGAUUGGGGUUACUUUUUUUUUUUUUUUUGUUUCCAUUAUUAUUAUGAUUGUAGCAGCUGAUUUUGCCCACGCUGGCCACAUGCUAUGUUCUAGAAAUUAUGGAGUUAGUAGGAUGCAGUAGACAGUUGACAUGUCAGAGAGAUACUUACCUAUAUAUGUAUUCAUUGAUGAGAGAAUAUUACUUACUCCUACCCACAUGACCACAACAAUGAUGUAAUGCAGGUAUUAUUGUCCUUGAAUGUUCUGGUGAAUAGAUUAAUUUGCCACACUACUGUUUAUAAGGUUUAGAAUUUUGAUAGUUCAUUACCAGGGCAAAAUAAGUAGAUAAAUUUCCAUCAUGCCCUUGAUUUGAAUUGAAGCUAAUGCUUCAUAGCAACUUUCAUAUGUCAGAAAAUGAAUAAUACACUGUUGUGCAUUUAUUUUGCACUUUAGUGUGCUAGUUCAUGUAUUGACUUGUGCAAACUAAGAAUUUAAUUAAUUUGAACAAUCAGUUUGGUCCAAUGCUUGUUUCUUUGAAUUGGUUAAUUCCAUUAACUAUUUAGGUGCAUACAUAGUACAAAUUUAUAUCAGAACCAACUUGAGAUUCCACAAAAUCGGGCCAGCAUUAACUCGCCCAAUUAAUUUCAUUUUGAUAUUAGACUCGAUUUCAUCUUUACAUGUAGAACAAAGAAAUGAAUAAACCAUUUAUAAAUAUACAAUUCCAUACCAAAUCUAAAUAUAUAGUGUAGCAAUAAUAGAUCUGCAUGUCUUUGAUUCCUCAUAAAAUGGAAUUUCCAAGGAAAACAAUCACAAAUCAUGCCUUCUUUGAUCCAUUGAACUGUUACUGCCAUUUCUAUUCAAGCAUAUUAGCUGGUGAUCAAGUUACAAUUUGUGACUCAGAAAUAGCCAUCAACUUAUGAGGCACAUUAUUAUACAGCAUGCUUUUGAUUGAACCAACCACAUUAAUUGAAUAACAAUCUACUCAACCCAAAUUCCAACAUAGGAAACUUGAGAAAUUAAAACCACAAAGCCAUGAAUUGAGGGAAUUAAGAACCAUGAUCUUGAACCACAAAUUAAGCUGCAUAAAAGUAGACAUAAUAAUAAAAAAAAAUAGUAAUGAGAAUUAUAAAAGUGAGAAAAAAAAGAAGAAGAAAAAUCUAGUCAGAGGUGCAACAUCAACUUGCAGCAGAAUAAAACAACCAACCAUCUCUUGUCCAACUAUUGGGAUAAAAAGGAUGUCAGCAAGCAGGUAUAAUAUGAUGUGAAAAAACAUUAGAUAAAGGGGGAAUAUAUUCACCUUGUCUGUUGCAUGCUCUGAAGGGGAGAGUCCUUCAAGAUAUGACCAACAAUAUCUUCUCCUUUGCAUAUGAAGGAGGAUCCUUCAAGAUAUGCCCAACAAAAGGAAGAUGUGAGGCUGUCAGGGCAUGACCUAGCAAGGAUUGGCCAUUUAUGCUUGUAGGGACAAGUAUUUUGUGAGGAGCCCUUUCUCUCUCUCUCUCUCUCUUAUUGAAAAAAAAAAAAAAAAAAUCUUACAACUAAGGAGAGGUUGAAUAAAUGCUCUCAAUUCAAUUAAUAUUCAGUUAUUUUCUAAAGAAUAAAUUUUAAAUCCACAUUUAGAUAGAAGAAUUUUGUAAAGAGGGGUUGAUUAUGUCCUCCACCCAAUCAAUUUUUUCAACACAAGACCAUGAAACUAAAUAAGCUAUAUUUUUCUGAAAAAAUUGAUUUGAUGGUCCAAAUUAAAAGGUACAAGUUUAAAUGAACUGCAUCUGACUCCUCCUUUCAUAAAUUUUUAGUCCCACUUCUUAACAUGAUCUUCAAAAUGGUCACUCCAAGCUAGAUCAUGCUGGCAGCUUCACCCAUUCCCAUGGACAAUUCCUAGAAACCUUCCUACUCUCAAAUAUAGUGGUACUGGUAAUAGGAGUUAGUCUAUGAUUGAAGGAAUCUAAUUAAGGGCCUGGGCCAAACAAUAAUAAUAAAAAAAAACAUGGGGGCUAAUCCUACAAGAAAGAGAUUUGAUUCAAGUAGGGGGAAAAGGUUCCACUAUAACAACUGAAUGACUUGGAAGGUAGUGUUAUCUAAGUCAACUCCAACUCCUAGCAAAAUAUAUAUAUGUAUAUAUAUAUAUAAAAUGCAAUACUAGACUUGUUAGUGUGACACAGCUGAAUCAUACUAAUACUAUGCACAAUAGCACAAGAGUGUAGUAUACUACACUACCAUGAAAAAAUAUGCAAUAAAUUGGUUCAUAUAUACAAUGAUUUUUUCUUUUUUCAUUACAAAAAUGAUCAAAAGUAAGAAAACAUCCCUUCUUGCUUUACAAACAAGCAUCUGCACAAAGUAAUAUUGAAAAAAAAAAGAAGAGAGAAAGCAUGCAUGGAGAAAAUCUAAAAAUGUGUUGCUCAAGAUUAAUUCCAGCUUUGAAAAAGAGCAAAUAUAAGUUAAAAAAAAAAGAUUAAAUAAGGACAAAGACAGAUCAUAUGGCAACACAACAUAUAGAUUGAAGGAAGAGAAAGUGUGAACAUUAGCAUGCAGAUCAAGGUCAUACAAAAUAGAUGGUAAACAGAAGCACGGAAAACAAUUAGAGAUGAAAGAAAAGAGAAACAUAGCAUGAAAACUAACAUGAUAGAACUACUAAACCUCUUCCUGGGCUGUGAGAUUUAUACAUGGUUUGAACUCCUUUGACCGGCCAGAGCAAGUGGGUGUGAGCCAUAAAGUAGAGAGAGAGAGAGAGAGAAAGAAAGAAAGAAAGAAGGGUCUAGAAAGAGAAAGAGAACAGGAUGAUUAGGGUUAGGGUUUGAGUGUGAUAGGUGUGGGAGAGAGAGAGAGAGAGAGAGAGAGAGAGAGAGAGAGAGAGAGAGAGGGUUUUUAGGGUUAGAUAGUUUGGCGAGUCAUAGGGGCCGUACCCCCAUGAGCGAUCACAUUAGAUAACACUGUAAAAGCUUUUAAAAAUUUCACAAGGUCGAGAUGGAACGGAACAGCAUUUUUUUCUCUUUUAUUUAAUUGGUAAAUUCACAGGAGCAGUCCCCUUACUUCGCCUAUAUUAUGAUGUCCAUUUUACUUGCCUUCGAAAGCCCUAUAAUAUAAUCUAUAUAUGGUUUACUCAAACUUACUUGAAUUUAGUCUCAUAAUAAAUAAUAAAUAAAUCUAUCUGUAAAUAUUAAAAUUAGUUUUAGUAAUUGAACUUUCCGUACACUUUACGUUUUAGUUUUUAACCAAUAAAAAUAUCGGGAUUGUUUGUUAUAAAAUAAUUUUUAAAUUUAUUUUAGGAAAAACUUUAAAAACCCGCAUUGUGGUUUCAAUUUUUUUUACUUUAGUAUUCUAUGGUUUAAAGUAUAUCAAGUUAGUACCAUGUGGUUUCUCACUUUAUCACUUUAGUACCAUGUGGUUUAAAGUGUAUCAAGUUAGUACCUUGUGGUUUUGCACUUUACCACUUUAGUACCUUGUGGUUUUAAUUUUGUAUCAAGUUAGUACCCUGUGGAUUUUUAAACCAUUGGGUACUAAAGUAAGAAAGUGUGAAACCACAGGGUACUAAAGUGAUAAAGUGCAAAACCACAUGGUAUUAACUUGAUACACUUUAAACCACAGGGUACUAAUUAAAGUGAUAAGUGAGAAACCACAGGGUACUAACUUGAUACACUUUAAACCACAGGGUACUAAAAUAAAAAAGUGUGAAACCACAUGAGGGUUUUUUGAAGUUUUCCCUUUAUUUUAAGCAAAUAAAAUAGUUUUUAUAUUUGAAGGAAUAUAAUAGUUAUACAGAAACAAGCUUUUAUAUAGUGAGGAAUUCUACACUGUCACACUUGCAACACGCGCGUGAUCAAUAUCAAGCCAAUCACAUUUAAAAAAAAAAAUACAAUAAAAAUAUUUUUUUAAUAAUCAUGAUGGGACAUAUAUCUCUAAAAAGAGAUAUUUGAUUAGCUUGUUAUGCCACGUCAUUAAUAUAUUCGUUGCAUUCUAGAAUUUUUCCCAUAUAACAGCUACAUUGCAUUAUUUAUGUUCCAGCUAAAAAUCAUUAUAGUAUGCUUAAAUUUUAGAAAUAAAAUAAUCUCGAUUAAAAAUAUUAUAUUAGCAGUAUGACUAUAAUAUUUUUAUUUUUUUCCUUCAGUUAGAUUCCAGUCAUUGAGACAAAAAAAGUACAGGAGCAAGUUGGGAUGUGAAAAUAGUAUAAGUACCAUUAAUUCAAACAUUUUUACAACAAUUUGAAUAUAAUAUGCGACCGUUGCAGAAGCUGCGGGAUCCAUCCAUAACAUGACAAGACAACAAUAAUAGUUAUUGCCUGCAGUUUAAUGCUUUCCGAGGGGAAAAUUUAGAAUGCUUUAUAUUACUGACGUGACGUGGAUUCUUUGAGUAGUAAAAUUAUUUUUUUAAAAUCUAUUCGUUCUAUUAUAAUUAAUAUAAAAUUUAUUUUAUUAUAUAUUUUUUUAAAAAAAUAAUAAUUUGAUAUUAAUGAUGUGAUGUAAAUAUGAUGCCGUAGAUUUUCUCUUUUCAAGGACUCUUGAAUUUUGGAUUGUAGCCGUGGCUAUUAGAGAAUCAUUAUACAAAAUAGAAGCGCUAUUUGUGUGACAUCCUUCUUUUCAGUGGAUUUAUCAUUCUAAAAUUAUUGUAAUCUUAAUAUAUUCAAUAUUUUUAAUCUCUUGGUCUUAACCAUUGUUUAAAAUAUUACAGUCAUAUUAAGAAGAUUAAUAUUAUUAUUUCUUAUAUAUAGAACUAUUUCAAAUUUUGAGAAUAUCACAUUUCUUUCCUCUUAGAGCCCUUGGUGUUCUAGUUACGUUCGAGUACUAUGCUCACAAGUACUAGACGAUAUAAGACUUAUUUUACUAGUCUUAUCAUUCAGACUCUGACUUUAACAUGUCAUUUUCAGUUCCUAAUUUUUAACGUGUCAUUCAUGUUGAGAAAUUAGAUUGCAAAUUUUAAUAAUGCAUGUGUAUUUGAUAAAUUACUUGGUGAAAUUUAUGUGUUAAACGAAUGGACUCCUUCGUAGGGACAUGUCUGUUCAAACGAAUGGACUCCUUCGUAGGGACAUGUCUGUUCAAAUGAAUGGACUCCUUUGUAGGGACAUGUCUAUUCAAAGAGACAUGACUUUUCGAUUCGGAUGUACCUUUUGAAAACAUAUAAAUAGAGGCUCUUGUGCCAAAAUUUCAUAUUAUCAAAUAGUUUCCAGAUUUCAGAGUUAAGAGCGUGAGAGAUUCCGAGUUUUGCUUCUUGAGUAUCUCUAGCCUCGUUCUAUCCCGAGAGUACUUUGUCAUAACCCGAAGCAAACUUUGUGUGGGGGCAAAUCUACUCUUUGGAAAGCGCUGAACCCGUGGCUCGAGGCUUUCCCCGUGUACGAAUAUUUGCUCGUGUUUAUUACUUGAAGUGCUCGUGGCGUCUCUUGCGGUUGUCAUUCCAUACCGUCCCUAACAAUUCAAACCUAGUUUAAUUAAUCAAGACUCAUCUCACAAUUAAUUUGAAAUAUAAAUAUAGAGAAAUUAAAAGUUUUAUACUUUCAUACUCACAACGAAUAUGUUAUUGCUAUCUUUUAAAUGUAAUAUAUAGUUAGGAAUAUAAGUAUUUAGAUAAUUUAUUAUGAAUUUUCGCUAUGGGUAUGAUCUUUCGGAGGAUCUAUUAAAUACAAUGAAGAGUUCUUACCUUAGCCGCGUAAUUAUAGAUUAUAGAUAUUUAAGAAAUCACUAAUCCUUGUCACUUAGGGGAGGUGCUGCGGAAAAAUAGCUCGACCCAAAAUGAUAAAAAGCCGUCACAACCCAAGCACAACGACACAAUUAUCAAGUGCGCGCUCUACAACUGAGCUAACAUCAUCAAGUAAAGACUUUGGGUUUCCAUCAAGCCACUGCUACAUCUAUUUCAUUAGGAGUUGACAAUAUUUUAACAAACAUUCUAAGGGAUGGUGAGUCCAAGAUGCUGAAUAACAAAGUUUUAUUUUGAAGAAACAUCAUCACUAUGAGAAUGUACACGCAAUAGAAAAAUUAAUUAUGUCAAUCUAUUAAGAUGCCGUAUGCUACAGGUGAAUAUUCAUAUGCGACAAUAUAUAAAUACUAAUUUUCGGAUCAUUGAUCCCCCUCUAGCCUGAUCUAUCUAAUGUCUUGUUCAAGAGGUAGGAAAAAAUUGCAACUCACAUGCACCAAUUAGUAGGUAUGAGAGGAUUAAUGCCAGAUCCCUAAGGACAAACAAUUGAAAAGAAAUAUCGAUUCUUUGGGAUUAUUCUUACCUUCUUAAACAGAAUGAACAAAGAUGGAAUCAGAUUGAUUCCCGAAAUGCGUUUUUGGAUCUUCCUCAAUGUCCCGACUAUUUAAGGAACGUGAGAAGCAGAUGAAUAAUCAUUUGCUUUCGAAAGAAAUCGAAGAAUUAAUUAAUCAUGCUUUCCUCUCAGAGAGCAACUUAGUUUUUUCAUCUGCAUGCACGCACUUUACUUUAUUUAUUUAUUUACAUUAAUCAUAGAAUCUUUUUGAGGAAUGCUUCAAUACACCAGGUAAAAUAAAUCUAACCGUUCAUAUUUUAAGGGCGAGAUUGACUUUUGCAUAGUGAUUACCUGCUCAACAGGUUACCAUUCGUAAGGAUAAUAUGGAAAAAAAAAUACAAACUACUAAGCAAAUUUGAUCAACCUUAUACAAAUAUUUGUUUCCUUGUUUAAUUUUGUUACUUACCAAAUUAGAUAGUGCUAAUUUGAUAAGUAAUAAACCUUUAUAAAUUGAAUUUAAAAUUUAAUUUGAGCUUAAACUUUAUAAUUGUGUACAUUAAAUUCAAAUUUAAUUUUUAUUUUUAUUUUCAGAAUGAAAAAAUUUAUGUUUAAAUGAAUAGUAUAUUUCAAUUCAAAUUGUUAAUUUGAUAUAUUAAAAUGACACGAAAUUUCGAAUAUAUUAAUUUAAUUUAAAUUAUAAAUUAUGCUAUAUUUAUAAACAUAACUUUUAUUUUUUAUUUAAAUUAAAGGCUUUUAUUUUUAAAAUUAAAUUCAAAUUGUUCAUUCGAUAGUCAAAACAACAUUAAAUUUUAAGAAUAUUGAUUAAAAUUAAAUUUUAAAUUUAGAUUUAGUUUAUAUUAUAGUUAACAAAUAAAAUUUGUUAACUAUUUAAACUAAAUGAUACUAAAGCAAAAAAGGAAAAGAGGAGCGGCGAGGAAGAAGAAAUCACGACUACGUGUAGGAAAAUAUUGCGAUCCACAAGACUGCACUCAGCCUCGUGGACUGUGUGGAGUGAGAGGUCCACGGUGGACCUCUCGCUCCACUCCCCCUGUGUGUGUGUGUGUGUAUAUCCAAUUUUAUUUUUAUAUUUUAUAAGAAUUAUAAUUAUUUAUGCAUGAUAAUAGAAUAAAUCUAAAAAAAUUUUAAUUAAAUAAACCAAUUUAUAUUCCGAAUUUUUAAAUGAUAAACGUAAAAUUUUCGUAUAAAUCGUGUAUACGAAUUAUUGGUGAAUCUAAUUUUUAAACCGUAUUUUUCAACGAACUUAAAAAUUAAGAUACGAAUUUUAUUUGUAUUUUAUCCGUGUCGAAUUUUUAUCGUAUUCGAAUUAACUAACUAUGGUUUAAAGACAUGAGGUUUAAUUUAGGAAAAGUAAUAAUACAAAGAUGGAAUAUUGGAGGAUAAGAAUGAAGGAAGGUGGAAUAUUCUAAAUUUACAAAAAUAACAUGUUAUAAGGAUGGAAUUUACCAAAAUGCCCUCAUUGCAAACUCCAUGUAAUAAAAAAAAAUUUUGCCCUAAUUAAAGUGGUGACCGGUAUCUAUACCCCCAAGUGCCGGUCACCCUUUUUUAAUAAGUCUAUCGUUACCGUCCAUUUAAAGAAUUUUAAUGGUUGAGAUUUGUUCGGUGCAUAGGAGCAUUGCUCAAUAUUUUUAGGUCCCAAUAUAUCCAAUGCCGGAUAGCUGCCAAGCAGCACAAGUUGGAAAACACUAUCUGUGCCCCUGCCACAUUUAUAGUGGCUGCUAUAGCGCUUGCUAUUGGAUCAUUACCCGCUUUGAUACCCCCCAAGCGCUACGUACUUGUUAUCCGCUAUUUACAACCGUAGAGAGAAUACAUCAAAAUUGUCUUACUUGCUUUUCUUUGAUGAGGUAGAAAACAGUAAAGACUAACUAGGAUUUUCAUCUUUAGAACUCUUUUUUUAAUUAGAAUCUUUAGAAUUUUCAUCUCAUUGUAGACCACCAAUGUUGACAUAGCAAGUAUACAUAAAUUUGCACAUUUCAACAUCUUUCUUAAACAUUGCUAACAUUUACAAAUUAAACUAUAUAUUAUAAGAACACACUACAAUUAAAGUUUUCUCACAUUUAAAUUCUACACGUAGGCUAAAUAGCCCAGCCAUCAUUUAAUAAAUGUAGCUCUGAUAUCUAUUCAAGGGAAAAUUAAUCUUAGCAAAAGAAAGAACACCAGAUAAUAAAAUGUAAAAAAAUAUAUUACAUGAAAAACAACAAAAUAAUAACAAUACCAAACAUCUCACUAGCAUGUUAUGUCUUACCUAAAUCAAUUAUUAUGUGAAGAAAACUAUUGCCUAAAAAAUCCAGUUAGACCCACACUUGCCACAAAGAUUUCAACACUACCACAAACCAUAUAAUUAAGUUAAAGGAAACAGAUGAUGCAAGUGUAUAUUAAAAGUGUUAGAUAACCAAUAAUAACAAGAAUAACUUUUAAAGAGAUACCAUGGAUAGAUCAAUGCAUUAAUGAGAAAUAAAGGACAGUAUUCAAUCUGCAAAAUGAAUAUUGAUGUAAAAGGCAACAAAAGCAUAAAGAUCACAAUGACAACUAGAACAUAUUCAAUCAAAAGUAUGCAAGGUGCAUUUUUUUUUUUUUUUUGAGAGAUGGUGCGAUAUUUUGGGAUAUACCUCUUUCCACUCUAUAAUAGAAAACAUAGAUAGAAAAAACUUGUUUAUAUAUAUAUCAGCCUAGUUAUAUAUAUAUAUAUAUAUNAUAUAGAACUAGGCUAAUAUACUAUUAAUAGCACCAAGUCAUUGGUGCUACCAAGUUUUUGGCCAUUCGAUUAAGAGAUGUGCGGUUAGGAUGAAGUGGGCCCCCUAGGGUUGAGUGGGUGGUUGGUUGAAUAGUAUGAUCUAACGGGUGAAAAUGAUCAAAAGAAUAGAUCUAACGGCGGAAGACUUGGUAGCACCAAGUGCUUCGUGCUAUUAAUAGCAUAGUAGCCGAACUCUAUAUAUAUAUAUAUAUAUAUAUAUAUAUAGACUUAGGCUGGAAUACUAUCAAUAGCACCAAAUAUUUGGUGCUAUUAGGUUUUCGGCUCUUGGAUUAAAAAAUAUACAGUUAGGAUGAUGUGGGCCCCCUAGGGUUGAGUGAGUUAUUGGUUUAAUAGUAUAAUCUAACAGGUGAAAAUAGUCAAAGGGUUAAAUCUAACUGCCGAAAAUUUAAUAGCACCAAAUGCAUGGUGCUAUUGAUAAUAUAUAUCCCAGCCAGACUCUAUAGAUAUAUAUAUAGGCUAGGGCUACUAUAUUUUUAUGAGAUAAGAACCCCUUGUACUCAUAAGUUUUCGACCAUUGUAUGAAGGGAUGUGCGGUUAGGAUGAUAGUGGUUCCCAGUUAGUUUAAUAGUGGUCCCCUAGGGUUGAGUGGGUGGUUGGUUGAAUAGUAUGAUCUAACGGGUGGAAAUGGUCAAAGCAGUAGAUCUAACGGUCGAAAACUUAUGAGUUUAAAGGAACCUAAACUCAUAAGAGUAUAGUAGCUAGACUCAUAUAUAUAUAUAUAUAUAUAUAUAUAUAUAUAUAUAUAUAUAUAGUGGGCUGGUAUGCUUAUGGAAGUACGGAGCCCUUCGUGCUUCCAAGUUGUUUUCGAUGUUCGGACUUUCGAAUCGACGAUCGGCUCCAUUAGAGUUGAUCUAGAGUAUUUGAAGUACCUAGAAAAUAAAUUUUGUGAUUUUUCGAUAUCAUUUGCCUAGUGAUCGAAGGGGCUCAAAAUCAAUAAUUUUAACGGCCGUGGUGAGCCGGUUGCAAGUUUAACGGUGUAGAAAUAUCCAAAUCACAUGAAAUUUUGAUAGAAAAUUCUUUAUACCAUAUAAAACAAGAUCAAUAACUUUGAUCUAAAAUUUUAAUGUCAUAUCAUCAUAUUUUGUAAGAUUUUUAUUACUAGCCUGAUUUUGACCACUCGAUCACUAGGCAAUUAUAUCGAAAAAUGCAAAUUUAUUUCUAGAUACCAAAUAUCUAAUCAAGUCUAAACAGACCCCGAUCGUCAUUCGAAAGUCAAACCUUGAAAACAAAGCUGAGCCCGGAGCCCGCCUGCUCAAACACAUCCUAGCGCCUAUAAGUAUAUACUAUAUAAUUAUAUAUAAAUAUAAUACGAUAAAGUCCGCUAGUCUUGAAAAGCACAAGCACUUGGUGCUUGUAAAAUUUUACCUGUAAAUCUCGCGCUUUGAUUAUUGUACUGCCGUAGAUAUACUAUUCCACCAAGCCACCCACUCAACCACUAGGCCCACUCAUUGUAACCGCACAGCUUUAAUCCAAGGCUAAAAACUUACACACCAAUAACAUGACGUUUAAAGCAUAGGAACUCAAUUUAUAUAUAUAUAGUAUAGAAUAUAAUAUACUAAUAUAUAUUAUUAUUAUAACUAUAAAAUACUAUAUUUAUAAGUUAGGUCUGGUGCUAUUAGAAGCACGAAGGCUCCGCCUCCUAAGUCCAUUUCAAUGAUAACUUUCGAAUCGACGACCGAAUCGGCUCGUUAGACUGAUUCUAGCAUAUUGAACUAUUUAGAAAAUAAAAUUUGUUGGAUUUUUCGAUACUCAAUUACCUAGCCAUAAAAGAAUCAAAUCAACGGGCUGAAAAUAAAAAAUUUCAUAAAACAGUGUGAUAUAGCAUUAAAAUUUUGAUGGAAAUUAUUAAUUUACGCUAGAUCAAGUCUAACGGACCAUCGUGCAUUCGAGCUCCAUCAUCGAAAACGGCUAGGAGUACGAGCCUCCGUGAUCCUAAUAGCAAUCAUGACCAUAUAUAAUAUAAUAUAUAUAGAUAUAUAUAUAUAUAUAGAAUUGAAUCUUCGAUACUUGUAAAAGAACCAGUCGUUGUUUUAUAAAUUUAGCCUUGGAUAAAAGAGUCAUAAUAAUUGAGCUCUUUAUACUUAUUAAAAGUACCUCAGUCAUUGAUUUGUAAAUUUUUAGCCCUUGAUGAAAGAUAUACGGUUAGGAUGAUAGUACCCUCUAUAGGGUGAUGGUAGUUGUUAAUAGUGAUCUACACGAUAAGAAUGAUCAAAUGAAUAGAUCUAACGUAAAAACUUAGAAGUACUAACUGCUUGUCUUUACAAGCACCAAGCUAUCAUAUAGGUCCGCUGUGGUGCUUGAAAACCAAGUAUUGUGGGUGUUAAAUUUUUACCUUAGAUCUACGCCCUUUGAUCAUUGUCACUACCGUAUAAAUUAUCCAUUCAACCACUACCCACUCAACACAGGCCCACAUCAUCCUAACCGCACAUCCCCUUAAUCUAAGGAAUAAAACUACAAGCAUCCCAAUGACUGAUACUUUAAAAGCAUAUAGCCAAUUAUAUAUAAUAUAUUAUAAAAAUAUAGUAUAUAAUAAUAUAUAACUAAGCUACUAUAAAUUACGAAGCCACGGAGCGGCUCUCUGCUACCCAUAAGUGUUUUUAAGAGGCGCUUCAAUCGACACGCCCGUAGACUUGAUCACACUAUUAAAAUAUUGAAACAAAUUUUAAUAAUUUCGAAUAUCUUUACCUAUCAAACAAGUAGUCUAAAAUUGAACGCUGAAAAAUAAAAAUUUCUAAAAAUAAUGUGAAAAGAUUAAUUCAAAUCAAUAUACUAUCUUACUCUAAAUAUGAAAAGAAAUUUUUAUAAAAUUUUCAUCGAUUGGCAGUUUUAAAUACCGUUAAAACUCUCAAACACACAUAUCGGCCAUAAAAUUGUCAAUUUGAAUCGUUUGAAGCACUAGUCAAAUGAUGUUGAAAAAAUCUGAAAUUUAGUUUCCAAAUACUUUAAACUAGUUAAUCAAUCCUCACGAGCCGAUCGUCGAUUGGAACUGCAUCAUCGAAACAACUGCUAGGCAAGAGCGCCGGUUCUACCGAUAGAAAGACGCCGACAUAUAUAUAUAUAUAUAUAUAAUAUAAUAUAAUAUUUAAGUACUAUGGCUAGGCUAACUGUAACUUAUAUAGUA
rnacentral:lncRNA from 1 species